UACGUAGGGUGCAAGCGUUGUCCGGAAUUACUGGGCGUAAAGGGCUCGUAGGCGGCCAACUAAGUCAGACGUGAAAUCCCCAGGCUCAACCUGGGAACUGCGUCUGAUACUGGAUGGCUUGAAUUCGGGAGAGGGAUGCAGAAUUCCAGGUGUAGCGGUGAAAUGCGUAGAUAUCUGGAGGAAUACCGGUGGCGAAGGCGGCAUCCUGGACCGACAUUGACGCUGAUGAGCGAAAGCUAGGGGAGCAAACGGG
rnacentral:rRNA from 1 species